rnacentral:misc_RNA from 1 species
GAAACGCGAAAGGUAAUGCGAAUUGCAGAAUCAGUGAGUCAUCGAAUCUUUGAACGCACAUUGCGCCUCUCGGUAUUCCGGGAGGCACGCCUGUUCGAGCGCCAUUACACACCCCAAGCUCGGCUUGAUGUUGGACGCUGUCUGUUACAGGACAGGUCUGGAACGCGUGGGCGCCGCCGCCGGACCACGAGCGUAGCAAGACGCAAGUCAUCGCUCUGUGGGCUCACUCGGUGGACGGCGGUCUGGAUGUGGGGUAACACCUUCGUUGACGACACCUAACCAAAAGUUUGGCCUCGGAUCAGGCGGGGAUACCCGCUGAACUUAA